ACGGCUUUGUCGCGUCUGCCGUGAAAGUCCGGGGCUCAACUCCGGAUCUGCGGUGGGUACGGGCAGACUAGAGUGAUGUAGGGGAGACUGGAAUUUCUGGUGUAGCGGUGAAAUGCGCAGAUAUCAGGAGGAACACCGCAUGGCGAAGGCAGGUCUCUGGGCAUUAACUGACGCUGAGGAGCGAAAGCAUGGGGAGCGAACAGGAUUAGAUACCCUGGUAGUCCAUGCCGUAAACGUUGGGCACUAGGUGUGGGGGACAUUCCACGUUUUCCGCGCCGUAGCUAACGCAUUAAAGUGCCCCGCCUGGGGAGUACGGCCGCAAGGCUAAAACUCAAAGGAAUUGACGGGGGCCCGCACAAGCGGCGGAGCAUGCGGAUUAAUUCGAUGCAACGCGAAGAACCUUACCAAGGCUUGACAUGAACCGGUAAGACCUGGAAACAGGUCCCCCACUUGUGGCCGGUUUACAGGUGGUGCAUGGUUGUCGUCAGCUCGUGUCGUGAGAUGUUGGGUUAAGUCCCGCAACGAGCGCAACCCUCGUUCCAUGUUGCCAGCGCGUUAUGGCGGGGACUCAUGGGAGACUGCCGGGGUCAACUCGGAGGAAGGUGGGGACGACGUCAAAUCAUCAUGCCCCUUAUGUCUUGGGCUUCACGCAUGCUACAAUGGCCGGUACAAAGGGUUGCGAUACUGUGAGGUGGAGCUAAUCCCAAAAAGCCGGUCUCAGUUCGGAUUGGGGUUUGCAACUCGACCCC
rnacentral:rRNA from 1 species